UCAGGAUGAACGCUAGCGGCAGGCCUAAUACAUGCAAGUCGAACGGUAAGCGGCCCUCGGGGCCGCGAGAGUGGCGGACGGGUGCGCAACGCGUAUGCAACCCGCCCCCGGCAGGGGGAUAGCCGGUGGAAACGCCGGGUAACCCCCCGUGGCUUCCCGAGGGGGCAUCCCUUCGGGAAUAAAGCGGAGACGCGGCCGGGAGGGGCAUGCGUGCCAUUAGCUAGUUGGCGGGGCGACGGCCCACCAAGGCUGCGAUGGCUAGGGGAUCUGAGAGGACGGUCCCCCACACUGGUACUGAGACACGGACCAGACUCCUGCGGGAGGCAGCAGUAAGGGAUAUUGGGCAAUGGGGGGAACCCUGACCCAGCCAUGCCCGCGUGAGGUAGGAAGGCCCUACGGGUCGUAAGCCUCUUUUGUCCAGGGACAAUGGCGGGCACGGGAUGCCCGUUUGAGGGUACUGGGAGAAUAAGCGUCGGCUAACUCCGUGCCAGCCGCUGC
rnacentral:rRNA from 1 species